rnacentral:rRNA from 1 species
UAGCCGUAAACGAUACUCGCUAGGUGUCGGCCACGGUGCGACCGUUGUCGGUGCCGUAGGGAAGCCGUGAAGCGAGCCACCUGGGAAGUACGGCCGCAAGGCUGAAACUUAAAGGAAUUGGGCGGGGGAGCACAACAACGGGUGGAGCUUGCGGUUUAAUUGGAUUCAACGCCGGAAAUCUUACCGGGACCGACAGCAACAUGAAGGCCAAGCCGAAGACUUUGCCGGAUUAGCUGAGAGGUGGUGCAUGGCGUAGUCGUGU